AGAGGAGCAAAGUUCACAGAAUGUGUGUGUGUGUUACAUGAAGAACAGUGACAAAGGAUAUAACAAGUACCAAUUAGUGUCCGCUCUAGCACACCAGUCUAAACCAAUCACGCAUGUGAAAGGAAAUCAGUCAGGUGGCGGGAACCACUUCAGUCUAGCUGGCGGCUACAUCAGGAGAAGACCAAAUGUAGCCAAGCCUAUAGGCCUAGUUAUGGAAUUGAAGGCCUACCUCCAAGAACCUACGCCAGUCCCAAGACGGAUGAAAAGGAGAUGAACACGGGUCAACAACAAGAAAGAUUGGAAGAGGAAAACGGCUUAUAAGCCAUGGCUACAAGACAGCUCUUCUGAGAGCGAAGUUGAUCGCCGCGUGACCCUAGACCACCAGCAUCCGUCCAUUCAGGGAGACAACACAGGUGGAGACAACACAGAUGGACAAGGCAGGGACAUCAUAAAUCAAGUCGGAGGACAAGGAGGGGGGAGAAAAGGCCAAAUCUAUCCAAAUGCUAAAAUUACUGAUGAUGAGUCUCUGCUCUCAAUACUCUGCUAUGCUCUAAGACACACAACCACCAAGAUAGCUCUUAGUGAUUUAUUGGACAUUAUAAAUCUCCAUUGUCCAGAGGGGACGAACAGCGUUCCCAACAGUCUCUACAGGUUUAUGAAGUAUUUUGGCUUUAAUUACACUUUUGAAAUGCAGUAUAUUUGUCCAACAUGCCAGUAUUUCUUUGGCAGUAAAGUGCCAGAUCAUUGCACAUCAUGUGGUUGCCUCCUUGGGGAUAUGCCAUCUCUUGUCAAGAGUCAGUCAAAAAACAACUAGAGGAAAAGUUAUCAGACCCCAAAUUCUGCAACGCAUUAGAAUAUAAGUAUUCUAGGUCCAAGAGCAGCCCAGAUAGUAUAGAUGACAUUUAUGAUGGUGCACUAUACAAGUCAAUACAGUGAGGGAAAAAAGUAUUUGAUCCCCUGCUGAUUUUGUACG